rnacentral:rRNA from 1 species
GACGUAGGGCGCGAGCGUUGUCCGGAUUUAUUGGGCGUAAAGAGCUCGUAGGCGGCUUGUUGCGUCAGCUGUGAAAACCCGCAGCUCAACUGUGAGCUUGCAGCUGAUACGGGCAGGCUUGAGUUCGGUAGGGGAGACUGGAAUUCCUGGUGUAGCGGUGAAAUGCGCAGAUAUCAGGAGGAACACCGGUGGCGAAGGCGGCAUCCUGGACCGACAUUGACGCUGAACGGCGAAAGCUAGGGGAGCAAACGGG